CUCUUAUCCAGAGUAGGUGGAGGGACAGGCCCUUUGAAGCCCAGCAACCGUCAUGUAAAAUAUGACAUGGUGCUAACCUGAAGCAAGGACGAAUACUCCUUGGACGAUAAGAG
rnacentral:ncRNA from 2 species